rnacentral:rRNA from 1 species
UGCCAGCAGCCGCGGUUAAACCAAGAAAUUUAGUCAUUCUUUCACGGUAAAAAGACAGUUAGACAGAAAAUCAAAAAUCGUUGGACCUUUGGUAUAGGAGUAAAAUCUAAAUACCAAAAGUUAUAUCAGGUGCGAUUUAGUCAGAAUGUUGAAUCUGUGAUAGCUUUAAGGGAAACUGGGAUUGGAUACCCCACUAUUUUUAGUCAUAAAUAUAGUAUAGACUUACCGGAGUACUACGAAUAAAGUGUUUAAAACUCAAAGGGCUUGGCGGUGUUUUAGACCUCUCAGGGGAACCUGUCUCAUAAUCGACAAUCCACGCUAGACCUGACCUUUUAUGGUAAAACAGUCUGUAUACCGUCGUCGUCAGGUAACUUCUUAAAAUAUAGUAGUUAGCAUGAAAAUUUUGAUUAAUUAAGACGUCAGAUCAAGGUGCAGCCAAUAAAAAGGUGAGGAUGGGUUACAAUUAUAUAGUUAUAAAUACGGAAUAAUACUUGAAACGAAGUGUUUCAAAGGAGGACUUGAAAGUAAUUUUAAUUAUAUAAAUAAAAUGAAUUAGGCUCUGAAACGUGCACACAUCGCCCGUCGCUCU